rnacentral:rRNA from 1 species
CCUACGGGAGGCAGCAGUGAGGAAUAUUGGUCAAUGGACGGAAGUCUGAACCAGCCAUGCCGCGUGCAGGAAGACGGCUCUAUGAGUUGUAAACUGCUUUUGUACAAGGGUAAACCUGAAUACGUGUAUUCAGCUGAAAGUACUGUACGAAUAAGGAACGGCUAACUCCGUACCAGCAGCCGCGGUAAUACGGAGGAUCCAAGCGUUAUCCGGAUUUAUUGGGUUUAAAGGGUGCGUAGGCGGAUUGAUAAGUUAGAGGUGAAAUGUCCGAGCUUAACUCGGGAACUGCCUCUAAUACUGUUAAUCUAGAGAGUAGGUGCGGUAGGCGGAAUGUAUGGUGUAGCGGUGAAAUGCGUAGAGAUCAUACAGAACACCGAUUGCGAAGGCAGCUUACCAAUCUAUAUCUGACGUUGAGGCACGAAAGCGUGGGGAGCAAACAGGAUUAGAUACCCUGGUAGUC